UACAGAGGGUGCGAGCGUUAAUCGGAAUUACUGGGCGUAAAGCGUGCGUAGGCGGUUAUUUAAGUCGGAUGUGAAAGCCCCGGGCUCAACCUGGGAAUUGCAUUCGAGACUGAAUAGCUAGGGUGCGGUAGAGGGAAGCGGAAUUUCCGGUGUAGCGGUGAAAUGCGUAGAUAUCGGAAGGAACACCAGUGGCGAAAGCGGCUUCCUGGUCCAGCACCGACGUUCAGGCACGAAAGCGUGGGGAGCAAACAGG
rnacentral:rRNA from 1 species